GAUGAACGCUGGCGGCGUGCUUAAUACAUGCAAGUCGAACGAAGACAGUAGCAAUAUUGUCUGAGUGGCGAACGGGUGAGUAACGCGUUGGUGACCUGCCCCGAAGAGAGGGAUAACAGUCCGAAAGGAUUGCUAAUACCCCAUGUGGUCGUUUGGAUUAGAUGCCUUAUGACUAAACGGAUUUAUUCGCUUCGGGAGGGGCCUGCGUCCCAUCAGCUAGUUGGUAAGGUAAUGGCUUACCAAGGCGAUGACGGGUAGGGGACCUGAGAGGGUGGCCCCCCACAAUGGAACUGAAACACGGUCCAUACACCUACGGGUGGCAGCAGUAGGGAAUAUUGGUUAAUCUGGGAAACCGAGAACCAGCAACGCCGCGUGCACGAUGAAGGCCUUCGGGUUGUAAAGUGCUUUUUGAAAGGAUGAGGAAGGACAGUACUUUCAGAAUAAGCUUCGGCUAACUACGUGCCAGCAGCCGCCGUAACAC
rnacentral:rRNA from 1 species